rnacentral:rRNA from 1 species
UACGUAGGGUGCGAGCGUUAAUCGGAAUUACUGGGCGUAAAGCGUGCGCAGGCGGUUUCACAAGCUCGAUGUGAAAGCCCCGGGCUUAACCCUGGGAAUGGCAUUGAGGACUGUGGAGCUCGAGUGCGGCAGAGGGAGGUGGAAUUCCACGUGUAGCAGUGAAAUGCGUAGAGAUGUGGAGGAACACCGAUGGCGAAGGCAGCCUCCUGGGCCGACACUGACGCUCAUGCACGAAAGCGUGGGGAGCAA